GUCUGCUUUGCAUGGUUUGCUCCAGCCCAGUCCAGAUGCUCAGAAUUUAUAAACCAGGCCUUUUUACUGUGACUAAACUGCAGUAGACAGGCAGGAGGAGCAAGAUGGAAUCACAAACUCAGGCCCUCAUAUCCCUGCUGCUCUGGGUAUAUGGUACCUGUGGGGACAUUGUGAUGACCCAGUCUCCAUUCUCCCUGGCUGUGUCAGAAGGAGAGAUGGUCACUAUAAACUGCAAGUCCAGUCAGAGUCUUUUAUCCAGUGGAAACCAAAAGAACUACUUGGCCUGGUACCAGCAGAAACCAGGGCAGUCUCCUAAACUACUGAUCUACUAUGCAUCCACUAGGCAAUCAGGGGUCCCUGAUCGCUUCAUAGGCAGUGGAUCUGGGACAGACUUCACUCUGACCAUCAGCGAUGUGCAGGCUGAAGACCUGGCAGAUUAUUACUGCCUGCAGCAUUACAGCUAUCCUCCCACAGUACUUCAGCCUCCUACAUUAACCUCCUAGAUGGUUUCAACAGCUGUGUACAUCAUACACAGCCCUGGCAUACACAGUUCCCCCUUCUGCCUGACAGCUGACAUGCUGUCACUAAAAAUUAAUGUGUUUACUUCCUCUUCUGUCUUUUGAUGUAAAAUUCUAUACACCAAAACGGAGAAUAAAACCAUAGUAUUA